rnacentral:rRNA from 1 species
UACAGAGGGGGCAAGCGUUGUUCGGAAUUACUGGGCGUAAAGGGCGCGUAGGCGGCCCGCUAAGUCGAACGUGAAAUCCCCGAGCUCAACUCGGGAACUGCGUCCGAUACUGGCGGGCUUGAAUCCGGGAGAGGGAUGCGGAAUUCCAGGUGUAGCGGUGAAAUGCGUAGAUAUCUGGAGGAACACCGGUGGCGAAGGCGGCAUCCUGGACCGGCAUUGACGCUGAGGCGCAAAAGCUAGGGGAGCAAACGGG